UACAGAGGGUGCGAGCGUUAAUCGGAAUUACUGGGCGUAAAGCGCGCGUAGGCGGCUUUGCAAGUCGGGUGUGAAAUCCCCAGGCUUAACCUGGGAACUGCAUUCGAGACUGCAUUGCUGAGAGUAUGGGAGAGGGAAGUGGAAUUCGAGGUGAUAGCGGUGAAAUGCGUAGAGAUGUGGAGGAACACCAGUGGCGAAGGCGGCAUCCUGGACCGGUAUUGGACGCUGAGG
rnacentral:rRNA from 1 species